rnacentral:rRNA from 1 species
CCUACGGGAGGCAGCAGUGGGGAAUAUUGGGCAAUGGGCGCAAGCCUGACCCAGCAACGCCGCGUGAAGGAAGAAGGAUUUCGGGUUGUAAACUUCUUUUCUCAGGGACGAAGCAAGUGACGGUACCUGAAGAAUAAGCCACGGCUAACUACGUGCCAGCAGCCGCGGUAAUACGGAGGUGACAAGCGUUAUCCGGAUUUACUGGGGGUAAAGGGCGUGUAGGCGGGGACGCAAGUCAGAUGUGAAAACCACGGGCUCAACCUGUGGCCUGCAUUUGAAACUGGGUUUCGUGAGGACUGGAGAGGCAGACGGAAUUCCUAGUGUAGCGGUGAAAUGCGUAGAUAUUAGGAGGAACACCAGUGGCGAAGGCGGUCUGCUGGACAGCAACUGACGCUGAGGCGCGAAAGCGUGGGGAGCAAACAGGAUUAGAUACCCGUGUAGUC